rnacentral:rRNA from 1 species
GUCUAUGACCAUGCCACUCUGAACACGCCUGAUAUCGUCUGAUCUUGGAAGCUAAACAGGGUCGGGCCUGGUUAGUAUUUGGAUGGGAGACCACCUAGGAAGACCUGGAGCUGUAGGCG